AUUGAACGCUGGCGGCAUGCCUUACACAUGCAAGUCGAACGGCAGCACGGGAGCAAUCCUGGUGGCGAGUGGCGAACGGGUGAGUAAUAUAUCGGAACGUGCCCGGUCGUGGGGGAUAACGUAGCGAAAGCUACGCUAAUACCGCAUACGAUCUACGGAUGAAAGCGGGGGAUCGCAAGACCUCGCGCGAUUGGAGCGGCCGAUAUCAGAUUAGGUAGUUGGUGAGGUAAAGGCUCACCAAGCCGACGAUCUGUAGCUGGUCUGAGAGGACGACCAGCCACACUGGGACUGAGACACGGCCCAGACUCCUACGGGAGGCAGCAGUGGGGAAUUUUGGACAAUGGCGCAAGCCUGAUCCAGCAAUGCCGCGUGCAGGAUGAAGGCCU
rnacentral:rRNA from 1 species